rnacentral:misc_RNA from 1 species
AGUGCCAAAAAUGCUCUUGGAAGAUUUUAAAUCAUGCUUGAAAAUAACGCUUGAAACCUUAAAUGGAUCGGAGGGUGAGUGGAAGAAGUCGACACAAGAAGCCUCGAUCAAAGGAGCGGUAGCUGUAGAUCUGAUGAGAGUAGAGAAAGCCAUUGCAAUAUUUCACUUGAAGCUCUUCCCGGAAGACCCUAACAAAGAGGAUAGAAGAGAGAGAGAGGAGAGACUGCUUCUCUUUCUAUCUUUCUUUCUUUCUUUCUUUUUAUUUUAACGUUAGGCAGAAGGCGAAAUGAAAUAGCUGAGUUCCGUAUGAGGGAGGGGUAAGUGAGGAGAUGGC